CCCGGUAUGGGGAGGUAGUUGUCCAUACCGGGGGUAAAAUGGUAAUUUCGCUCAUUAAUUGAAAAGUCCAAAUUGUAAAAACAUGAAUUUUCCCGUUAUUGUUUCUCUCUCUCUCUCCUCUGAGUUCUCUGUCUCUCUCCUCUCCUCUGAGUUCUCUGUCAUCUCUCCUCCUCAAAUCUCCAUUGUCGUUGCGCUAAAUUAUCCUAUAAUUCUCACUAAAUAUUGGGAAAUAAUAAUUUUAGGCGGAAUUUUAAUUUCGUUACAAGUUUAGCUCGAUUGCGAAAGGAUUUUAAUUGCGAAAGGAAUUUUAAUUGCGAAAGGAAUUUUUGAGAGAAGCGGGAUUGCGAAAGGAAAGGAAAUUGGUUGAGAUAGGUGAAGGAUGACGAAGUGAGAAAUGGAAAUAAGAGGAAAAGAAAAAGUUCGAAAAGAGUGGGUAAUAAGGUAAAUGUUGUAUGAUUUGAAAAGUUGUAUAGUAAUUUUUUGAAAUGUAAUCGUAAAAAAUGAAGUGUGGUUGGAAGUUAAUAUAUUUUGGUGAUCAAAGUUCUUUUGGUACAAUGAAGUACUCGUUUUUGUAAUUUGUUAAUGAAAUACUUGAUUUUGUAAAUUGUCAAUGAAGUAUUCGGUUUUGUAAAUUAUCAAUGAAGUAUUCGAUUUGCUAUACUCUAGUACAAUGAAGUACUCAAUUUUGUAAAUUGUCAAUGAUCGGACAAUAUUGAAUAUAUCUUUGCGUAUUUUAUGUUAUGAUAUGAUUCAUCAAACAUUUGAUAUGAUUAAUCAAAUAUGGGACAUGAUUCACAUGCCAACUGAUAUGAAAAUACCACAUAACUAAUAAUUUCUAAUUAAUUGUAUGCAAUAACAUGUUUACUAUAUUCAAAGUUCAUUUUUUAAGUUACAAAA